UAGGGGAUAUUGGUGAAUGGGCGAAAGCCUGAACCAGCAACGCCGCGUGUGCGAUGAAGGCCUUCGGGUUGUAGAGCACUUUUUGCCGGGAAGAGGAAGGACGGUACCGGUAGAAUAAGCCUCGGCUAACUACGUGCCAGCAGCCGCGGUAAAACGUAGGAGGCGAGCGUUAUCCGGAUUUACUGGGUGUAAAGCGCGUGCAGGCGGUUUGGUAAGUUGGGUGUGAAAGCUCCUGGCUCAACUGGGAGAGGUCGCUCAAGACUGCCAGACUGGAGCGUGGUAGGGGAAGGCGGAAUUCCGGGUGUAGUGGUGAAAUGCGUAGAUAUCCGGAGGAACACCAGUGGCGAAAGCGGCCUUCUGGACCAUGACUGACGCUCAGACGCGAAAGCUAGGGGAGCAAACG
rnacentral:rRNA from 1 species